AAAAGGGUAAGCUAAUGAAGCUACUGGGCUCAUACCCCAAUGAUAGAGUAAUCUCCCUUUUA
rnacentral:tRNA from 1 species